GACGAAGGAUGCAAGCGUUAUCCGGAUUCGUUGGGUUUAAAGGGAGCGUAGGUGGCCUUAUAAGUCAGUGGUGAAAUCCCGCAGCUUAACUGUGGAAUUGCCAUUGAUACUGUAGGGCUUGAGUACAGAUGCCGUUGGCGGAAUAUGACAUGUAGUGGUGAAAUACAUAGAGAUGUCAUAGAACACCGAUUGCGAAGGCAGCUGACGAAACUGUAACUGACACUGAGGCUCGAAAGUGCGGGGAUCAAACAGG
rnacentral:rRNA from 1 species